AUUGAACGCUGGCGGCAUGCCUUACACAUGCAAGUCGAACGGCAGCACGGGGCAACCUGGUGGCGAGUGGCGAACGGGUGAAUAAUGCAUCGGAACGUACCUUUCAGUGGGGGAUAACGUAGCGAAAGUUACGCUAAUACCGCAUAUUCUGUGAGCAGGAAAGCAGGGGAUCGCAAGACCUUGCGCUGAUUGAGCGGCCGAUGUCAGAUUAGCUAGUUGGUGAGGUAAAGGCUCACCAAGGCGACGAUCUGUAGCGGGUCUGAGAGGAUGAUCCGCCACACUGGAACUGAGACACGGUCCAGACUCCUACGGGAGGCAGCAGUGGGGAAUUUUGGACAAUGGGGGCAACCCUGAUCCAGCCAUGCCGCGUGAGUGAAGAAGGCCUUCGGGUUGUAAAGCUCUUUCGGCCGGGAAGAAAUCGCACGGGCUAAUACCCUGUGUGGAUGACGGUACCGGAAUAAGAAGCACCGGCUAACUACGUGCCAGCAGCCGCAGUAAGAC
rnacentral:rRNA from 1 species